rnacentral:lncRNA from 11 species
GAACAAUUCUCAGCCUGGCCUUCGAUGCAGGUGAUUGUGUUUGCUGAUAAGCCCAAGGUGUGGGAUAAACUCGCCUGCAGAUUGAUCUGAUAUGUUUAAAGGUGUUUUACAGAAGAGGAAACUAUACUUGAAUAAAUGCUGG